UACGAAGGGUGCAACCGUUGCUCGGAAUCAUUGGGCGUAAAGCGCACGUAGGCGGCUUGGCAAGUCGGAUGUGAAAUCCCUCGGCUCAACCAAGGAAGUGCAUCCGAAACUGCCGAGCUUGAGUACUUAAGAGGAUCGCGGAAUUCCCGGUGUAGAGGUGAAAUUCGUAGAUAUCUGGAGGAACACCGGUGGCGAAGGCGGCAUCCUGGACCAUGACUGACGCUGAGGAGCGAAAGCCAGGGGAGCAAACGGG
rnacentral:rRNA from 1 species